GUGUAGUGGAUGGGUCCAAGUGCAAGGUCAGCUGACCGAGUUAUAAAUACCGUGGGGAAUAUGAGAGCAUGUUGUCGUUGAAAACCAGCCUGAGGUGCCGCGAGGAGAUGAGAAAAGGCACAUCUGAAGAAUGCAUGGCAUAAAAACAACGCUAAAUGGGAUUUUGCCAUGCCGACCCUGGAACAAAUUUUUGGCCAUUCCUCUCUCCUUCUCCCCACCCCCUCUCGUGAACUAGGCUGACCCUGGGGCCUAGGCGCAGACGGAUGUCAAUGUGCCUGUCCCAAAACAUGACCCAGGCACAUGGUUGCCUGACAGGGAUCAAAGGUCACGUCAGUAAAAUAUGACUCUAAAACUAGCUCAGUCUUCACAGACGAGUAGCCUGAGGGGGAAGAGGAAAGUACCUUUUUUUUUUACCAGGAGCAUGCACUUGAAUUUGGGGAGCAGUGUGCAUAAGAGAAAAAAAUAUUGCACUAUCUAACUGUGUUUGAUUGUUGUUUUACAUAUGACUAAAUUGCCACAGAAAAGAAAAGAAAAAUUAAAGCUUGUUUGUGAUAGAAAUGUAUAUGUAUAAAUAAGACUCAUUUAUUUAUAGAACAAAGUUCAGUGUAAAUUUUGAGCAGCUGUUGAUGAAGUAUACUCUGCACAUAUCCCAUGAAACAGACUAUGUGCAUGUGAGCUAAACAUAGUGAACUCUGAACUGCUUUCAUACAGUCUGUGUGGGCUUUACUGAGUAGUAUAUACUUAAACUUCAGGUGGUAUGCAGUCUUUGCGUGAUAAUCACUGAACUUCAGUUGACCCCAAUGCAUCAAAUGUACCGUGAUGUCAAACUGCCAAUAAUGUGUUGUCCUGCACAGAAGAGGUGGGUCAGCUUUUUUCAGCAUGAGAUGAUAUUUUAAGAUAAGUGUAAAUAAUCUGGUGUGUGUGGUUGUCUUAAAUCUUCUUAGAGUUCAAUUUAGAAAAAAAGUGUGAAUGACCUGACAUGAAACACAACACAAGACACUUACAGCUGAGUCAGUUUUGAAGCAAACAUACCAAACCUUCCCUAAAUUGUAAAUUGAUACAUUUUGAGGAUUUAUUUGAAUAUUUAACAUCAAUUUUAGAAAAAAUUAUAGCAGUCAUUUUUACUACAAUCUGACACUGGAUAAUCCAAAACCAUUUUGAUUGAUUAAUCAAGAAAAUUCACAUUGAACAAUAAUUAAAAUAAUUGUUAGUUACUGUCCUAAAACACUGUAAAACUGCCUUAAACAUUAUGAACUAUCAUGUCAGUGACAGUUCCAUGGCACAAUGUCAGACUGCUCAUUAAACAUGAUGACACUUCGGUUUUUUUGGUUAUGCUACCAGUCUAGUAUGAAUGUGAGCUUAGCAGCAUUGUGACAUGCAUAUACUUCUGAAUGGUAAAUCCCCUGUGGGCAAAAUUAAAACAUGGUUAUUUCAGAGCACAUUUUGUUUGCAUGUCUUCCGAUGUGGCGUGUUUGGGUUGAAGAUGAGUUUCAUAUUACAGUAAAGAAAAGUACAGUUUGCUUCUUCAACAUCAAA